UACGUAGGGGGCAAGCGUUGUCCGGAAUUAUUGGGCGUAAAGAGCUCGUAGGCGGUGUGUCGCGUCGGCCGUGAAAACCUGCAGCUUAACUGUGGGCUUGCGGUCGAUACGGGCAUCACUGGAGUUCGGCAGGGGAGACUGGAAUUCCUGGUGUAGCGGUGAAAUGCGCAGAUAUCAGGAGGAACACCGGUGGCGAAGGCGGGUCUCUGGGCAACUACUGACGCUGAGGAGCGAAAGCGUGGGGAGCGAACAGG
rnacentral:rRNA from 1 species